rnacentral:rRNA from 1 species
AUUUAACGCUGGCGGCAGGCCUAACACAUGCACGUCGAACGAGUGGCGGACGGGUGAGUACUGUCUGGGCAACUGCCCGAUGGAGGGGGCUAACUCCUGGAAACGGUCGCUAAUACCGCAUACCAUCGGAUGUGCCCAGCUGGGAUUAGCUAGUCGGUGGGGUAAUGGCGCACCUAGGCGACGAUCCCUAGCUGGCCUGAGAGGAUGACCGGGCACACUGGAACUGAGACACGGACCAGACUCCUACGGGAGGCAGCAGGGGGGAAUAUUGCACAAUUGGCGCAAGCCUGAUGCAGCCAUGCCGCGUGUAUGAAGAAGGCCUUCGGGUUGUAAAGUACGUUCAGCGAGGAGGCGUUACUCGCAGAAGAAGCGCCGGCUAACUACGUGCCAGCAGCCGCGGUAAUUC